CCUACCCCGCCCCCAACCAGCACCUCCGCCGCCGCCCCGCCCCCAACCGGCGCCGCCGCCCUCGCCCCGCCCCCAGCGGACGUCGCCUCCUCCCCGACCACCGGAUCCGCCGCCACCCACGGUGUCCAACUCCCCCGCAAGGGAUCCGCUGGGGAGCACGGCAGCCUGAUCCCGUGCCACGGCCAGCCACCUCCCACUUCGCCCACCACUGUGGCAGCCGCCGGCGGCCUUCCAUCCGCGCUGGAGCUGCGCCCGCCUGGAUCCGACCCCUGACAGCCGCCCCCGGCGCUGCCCCAUGCCUGGGUUCGGCCGCCGCGUCGCCCCGCGCCUGGAUCCGACCGCUGCGCCGCACCCGCCCCUCGAUCCGGCCACCGUCAGCACCCCCGUCCCUGCACACGAGCGCUGGCGUCCACCGCCAGCCCCCAAGCGCGCCACCCAGGGCCCCCAUCCCCAGACACCGUCCUUCGUAGUUGGCGCACCAUGGACGUCUUCCUCUUCUGCCUAGAACUUCUUCGUCGUUGGUGCUUGCGUGCGCACGACAGCCACAUGUGGUGUGGGGAGAAGCCAGCUAAAAGAAGAGAACACUUUCUUCACAUGCGUGUGCACGCAAGAUAGGCACAGAGAAGUUUGGAGCCGCCGACCCCAACAGCGGAACAGCAGCUAUGAUCGAGGUUGUUAACUUCACUCCCUGUCCAUCUAGUUAGCGCAAAGGUUUUCUGUGCUGCAAAAGCAAGGAUGGAGGCCUCGAAGGAUCAUCAUUUUCUGUAGCUGGGAUGCAGAAGAGUACGGAUUGACAGGAUCAAAUGAAUGGGUUGAAGAAAACAGGGAGAUGCUUUCUUCAAGGGGUGUUGCAUAUCUGAAUAUCGAUUUUCAGUAGUCGGUCCGGUUUUACUCCCUCUAGAGCUCCCCAACUUGAUGGACUACUAUUGGAAAACAAUUAAACUGAUCAUUUCUUUUUAGGUCAUCCCAGUCCAGCCUUGCAGUGGGUAGGAAGGUCGAGCCCAUCGCAAGCUGCAGUCCACGGUAGUCACCCGGUCCCGCCUCCUUCAUCACCAUGCUUGUGGUAGGUGACCUCAUUGAUGUCUGAAGUUGCUCCUUCCCGCUGUCAUUAAACUGAAUCCAGAUCAAAGCAUUGAUCCCUCCCCCUGUCCAGUCUUGUAUUUGUUCUGUAAGUGAUUUUGAUUGAUGUCUAUAUCUGUAGGUGCAAAACACUUGUGCUUUUGGUGGUGUGUGGUGGAAAUAAACUACAGAUUUUGGUCAACAGGAUUUUUUUUUCUCUAGCACUCUCUCUAACUCGCUUAGCCAAAGCAUGGUUGUGCUUGCUUAUGUGGUUUUUACCAUGAACACAGACUUCAAUGACACAGAAAACAGGUUAAAGAUGGAGCUUGAGCGACUGUGAUGUCCAACUUCAGCGUGUAGCACGGCGCGACUGCGCCUCCCCAAUAUCCUAUCUGUGAACUUUUUUUAUCUCUAAUGUGCUGGACUUGUUACAAUUCUAAGAUUGCGGCUGAAUCGGUUGAUUUUAUGUUCCUCUUCAACAGAUCAGAAGUUCAGGUUGUUCUGGUAGCGCGGGCGAACAUGCACCCUCCACUCUGUUGUGCGUGAGAAGGCACAUGGGUAAGUGGCCUAGGCAGAGAUUGAGAUGCAUUGAACUUCUUCGACUAGGUCAUGGUGGAGCAUCCCCUGCUCUAGUUCUCUCAUUGGCUCGGCCUGUUCUUGGUGGAAUUGGUCAACGGGGAACAACAGGUCGGCUUGUAUGCGGCUAAUGAUAGUUCAGUUACAGGGAAAACAACAAGUCGGAUUGUGCGCGGCCUACUAAUAGAGUAAAAUUGCUGCUGCUGCUGCGUUAAAGAUGGUCCCAAAUGAAGCACGAUCUAGCCGCUGUACUACUUGUUCUACUGUACAUUGUGCCUUUUGUUUGGUGGAUCAGCUACUGUUUUGCUA